AUUUGGCACAACCGAGUCAACGAGGUAGCCUCUCAAUGAUCACUGAACUCAUUAGAAACAGCAUCCAAUCUCUUUAGAAUCCUCGCCAUUCUUAAAUGAAGGAAGACCACAGUACAUAAUGUAGCACUACAUACUCCUAAAUGGCCAUAGUUAGAAUGUCUUCGAUUAUAAUUCUACUCGAUCAGAACUGACCCAGGACAGACAACAAUAACAACACAACUCCCCUUUCGGAUCCCGCAUGCGUAAUUUAGCCGUAGUUAUUUUAAUUGGACAAUGAAAUAGUAGCACAGAUACAAGGAAAUUGUUAUAAAAUCACUGAAAUGAUCUUUCACCGGUAUUUUAUAUUCUCGUUUAGUGUUAUUCACACCCCAGGAUGAACUGAAUUUUUAGAACUGAUUCUAAUCUAUUCCCAAGCAGUAGUCUGUCUCUGCAGCAUAAUUUAAGUUUUCUAAUCGAAACUAGUUUGACCGGUGAAGCCUAUCUUUUACGGGUGUGCUUUUAAACAUUUGCAUAUGCUAUUUUCGUUUUUUUCCCAUUUGUGAAAGGUUACGACAAGGACAGCAUUGGGAGGAAUAGAAAUGAGAAUGAGAUUUGGGUAUAUGAACUGCUGGAACCAAAGCAACAGAAUGUCCAAUUGGGCUGUUGCUAUUGGAGUUGGUGUGGUUACUGUUUCAGGUCUUCUUUUUGUUCUUAAACGAUGCAAAUGCAGAAGGAAAAAAAAUUAUCCCAAAGAUGUGAUCAUUCUUCAUGCUAUACCAAGAGCACAAGAUACACCAAACCUCUCUCCUUUUGGUAUAAAGCUAGAGACAUACCUUCGUAUGGCCAAGCUACCCUA
rnacentral:lncRNA from 1 species